GCCUCUGCAAACGGGGCUGUUCUGCCAGCUGCAGAAACACUGUUACUCGUCAGUGAGCAGUCAGCCUUGGACCUGCACCUCAAAUUACGAAAUUUUGCUGGGGGAACUACAGAAGAAAGACUCCUGAGCUGUAAAUUGGUAGACUUUGAAGGGAUCAAGCAAGAUGUGGGGUAUGAUCAGGCAGAUGUGCUAAGGCAGUACAUGCUGAGGAUCAAUGUGAGAUUACACAUAGUCUGGAUGAUGGACACAGCAGCAAUCAGUAACUGAAAGAAAAAUUASCGAGCUUAGCAAUUAGCAGUUGCAAAUAAUAAUUACAAUUUUUUAUAGAAUUAGGUGUUUUCCAUCACAUCUCACUCCUGUAUAAAGCCUUGAAGAAGAUAUGUAAAACUUUAUAGGCAUCUGCAAGACAGUUAGAGCUACCUGAGUCUACAGGAAUGCUAUCUAAUGUGCAUGUCUGCUACUACAGCGAGAGGGACCCAGCUGAGGAAAGAAGAGGACACCCUACUGCAAACAUAUCUCCCUAAAGGGUGCGAGCUGGAAGGAAAUAAAUCUGUGACAAACCUGAUGUUUUGCCAGASUAGGCAGAGGAAAUCAAGGAAGAAAAAGUCAGAUUCCUCCUUAUUGAGAUGAAGUUUCUCCAAUAUCAGCACACACUACCCAAGGGAAGUACUGAACACUAACCUCCUAUUUAAAGGCAAGCAGGCUCCCACAGCUGACCUGUCACUGCUGCUGGUGGCAGUCCAUAGGAGGAGUGACCUGGGAGCUGCUGAUGYUCGGACACUGCCACUCUUGCAGUAGCAUGAUCACCUAAGAAUCACAGCUUGAGGAUUUUGAACCUGUUUUCUUCUUUUGUUGGUGCUUGUUUGUUUUGCUUUGCUUUGCUUCAAAACCUUACCACUGUAUCCCCAAAUAUUUCUGCUAUCCCACGUUACUCUGCUCUUCUCAGGAGAUAUCUGUGGUGCUUUCCAACAGGRGUUGAUGACAUUUAUUCUCCGCACUGAAGGCAGUAACAUAACUGACAAUUGUAAUUCUUACAAGCAYCAAC
rnacentral:lncRNA from 1 species